CACAGGCACACACCCGGAUGGUCAGCGUGCCCGUGCUGCUCUGGAUCGGGUAGUCGUUGUCUGAGAUCACCACUGGGAGAAGGUAGCAUUUUAAAAUAUUUAAAGAUCUAAACCUCCCUCUUCACUUCUUUCCCCAAAAUUAACAUAUCUCUGUGGAGAAUGCUACCUAUGCCAGACACUGAAGUAUUACCUUAUUGGACUUGAAGCAGAAUCAGGAUCUCGUGCCAUUACUGUUCCUAUUAUUGUCCCCAACUCAAUAUCUUCAUGCACCUCAAAAAGAUAAAGAACUACACUGGCUAUGAACAUAAUAGAACACAGAAAUUAAAAAGGAGCACUCUUUGUAGAACUUCUCUCUUUAUUGGUUGCCAUUAUCAAUAGAUGUGAAGUGUCCGCAUCUGUGGCUUUAACGCUGCCAAUGGCUGUCCCAACUGGGGAGGACUCAGGAAUGCGGAGAUGGAUGGUACCUGUCAAAGAGACAAAGAGCGAUUCAGGACCCCCACAAGCCGAGAACUUGACAUUUAACGCUAAGACAAUGGACAAAAUAUGAGGCAGAGAACUAUCCAGAGGCAAGUUUUAUAAAGAAGACUGAAAACAGAACUGUAGAUAAAACAUCCAUAGGAAAGUAGGGUUGAGAAAGACUUUUAUUCUGUCUCAGAGAAGAAUCAACUAUAUCUGCAAUCUUCAUGCCUUUCGU